rnacentral:miRNA from 1 species
AUAAACCUCUUUCCUUUAUAAAGUACUAAGUCUCAGGUAUUUAAAAUAAAAUACCUGAGACUUAGAACUUUAUAAAGGUCUAAGAGAGU